rnacentral:rRNA from 1 species
GAUGAACGCUGGCGGCGUGCCUAAUACAUGCAGGUCGAGCGAACGGACGAGAAGCUUGCUUCUCUGAUGUUAGCGGCGGACGGGUGAGUAACACGUGGAUAACCUACCUAUAAGACUGGGAUAACUUCGGGAAACCGGAGCUAAUACCGGAUAAUAUUUUGAACCGCAUGGUUCAAAAGUGAAAGACGGUCUUGCUGUCACUUAUAGAUGGAUCCGCGCUGCAUUAGCUAGUUGGUAAGGUAACGGCUUACCAAGGCAACGAUGCAUAGCCGACCUGAGAGGGUGAUCGGCCACACUGGAACUGAGACACGGUCCAGACUCCUACGGGAGGCAGCAGUAGGGAAUCUUCCGCAAUGGGCGAAAGCCUGACGGAGCAACGCCGCGUGAGUGAUGAAGGUCUUCGGAUCGUAAAACUCUGUUAUUAGGGAAGAACAUAUGUGUAAGUAACUGUGCACAUCUUGACGGUACCUAAUCAGAAAGCCACGGCUAACUACGU